CGUCUAUAUACGUAUAGCAUAUCAAUAAGCGGAGGAAAAGAAACUAACAAGGAUUCCCUCAGUAACGGCGAGUGAAGCGGGAAGAGCUCAAAUUUGAAAUCUUCAAGGUUCUACCUUGACGAAUUGUAGUUUAAAGAAGUGUUUUCUGUUGGAGUUUUGGUAAAAGUUCUUUGGAAUAGGACAUCAUAGAGGGUGAGAAUCCCGUAUUUGACCAUUAUUUCAAGCUGUGUGAUACACUUUCAAAGAGUCGGAUUGUUUGGGAAUGCAGUCCAAAAUGGGUGGUAAAUUUCAUCUAAAGCUAAAUACUUGGCGAGAGACCGAUAGCGAACAAGUACCGUGAGGGAAAGAUGAAAAGAACUUUGAAAAGAGAGUUAAAACAGUACGUGAAAUUGUCAAAAGGGAAGCGUUUGACACCAGUGUUGUUUUCUCGAAAAUCAAUUAAAAAAUGGCCGGAUGUUGUGUUGUAUUGACCUUAUAAGCUUUCUGCACUCUUUUUCUUAUCUUUUUUAAUGCACUUUUCGUUUAACAAGUCAACAUCAGUUUCUUUUGUUGUAAAAGGGUCAUCGGAAGGUGGCUUUCUUUUCGGAGAAAGUGUUUAUAGCCUUUGAUCUCUGCAACCGGAGAGACUGAGGUCUGCAGCGUAGACUCUUCGGGGUUAAAUACAUUUGUGCUAAGCUAUAGCUUUUUAUAGACAACUUGUUGACUAUAUUUAGUCUUGUGGCUUACUCGCUUAUGCUAUUUUACCUACGCUUAGGAUGUUGAUAUGCAUGACUGAUAU
rnacentral:rRNA from 1 species